AACGAACGCUGGCGGCAUGCCUAACACAUGCAAGUCGAACGAGACCUUCGGGUCUAGUGGCGCACGGGUGCGUAACGCGUGGGAACCUGCCCUUAGGUUCGGAAUAACUCCCCGAAAGGGGUGCUAAUACCGGAUAAUGUCUUCGGACCAAAGAUUUAUCGCCUUUGGAUGGGCCCGCGUUGGAUUAGCUAGUUGGUAGGGUAAAAGCCUACCAAGGCGACGAUCCAUAGCUGGUCUGAGAGGAUGAUCAGCCACACUGGGACUGAGACACGGCCCAGACUCCUACGGGAGGCAGCAGUGGGGAAUAUUAGACAAUGGGCGAAAGCCUGAUCCAGCAAUGCCGCGUGAGUGAGGAAGGCCUUAGGAUUGUGAAGCUCUUUUACCCGGGAUGAUAAUGACAGUACCGGGAGAAUAAGCUCCGGCUAACUCCGUG
rnacentral:rRNA from 1 species